rnacentral:rRNA from 1 species
AGGUAGCUUGCUACUGGACCUAGCGGCGGACGGGUGAGUAAUGCUUAGGAAUCUGCCUAUUAGUGGGGGACAACAUCUCGAAAGGGAUGCUAAUACCGCAUACGUCCUACGGGAGAAAGCAGGGGACCUUCGGGCCUUGCGCUAAUAGAUGAGCCUAAGUCGGAUUAGCUAGUUGGUGGGGUAAAGGCCUACCAAGGCGACGAUCUGUAGCGGGUCUGAGAGGAUGAUCCGCCACACUGGGACUGAGACACGGCCCAGACUCCUACGGGAGGCAGCAGUGGGGAAUAUUGGACAAUGGGGGGAACCCUGAUCCAGCCAUGCCGCGUGUGUGAAGAAGGCCUUUUGGUUGUAAAGCACUUUAAGCGAGGAGGAGGCUACCGAGAUUAAUACUCUUGGAUAGUGGACGUUACUCGCAGAAUAAGCACCGGCUAACUCUGUGCCAGCAGCCGCGGUAAUACAGAGGGUGCAAGCGUUAAUCGGACUUACUGGGCGUAAAGCGCGCGUAGGUGGCCAAUUAAGUCAAAUGUGAAAUCCCCGAGCUUAACUUGGGAAUUGCAUUCGAUACUGGUUGGCUAGAGUAUGGGAGAGGAUGGUAGAAUUCCAGGUGUAGCGGUGAAAUGCGUAGAGAUCUGGAGGAAUACCGAUGGCGAAGGCAGCCAUCUGGCCUAAUACUGACACUGAGGUGCGAAAGCAUGGGGAGCAAACAGGAUUAGAUACCCUGGUAGUCCAUGCCGUAAACGAUGUCUACUAGCCGUUGGGGCCUUUGAGGCUUUAGUGGCGCAGCUAACGCGAUAAGUAGACCGCCUGGGGAGUACGGUCGCAAGACUAAAACUCAAAUGAAUUGACGGGGGCCCGCACAAGCGGUGGAGCAUGUGGUUUAAUUCGAUGCAACGCGAAGAACCUUACCUGGUCUUGACAUAGU